GUCUUCUUGUUUUAUAUAUGAAGUCUGGUCUGCCCACUGAAUUAUUGAAGGGCCGCGGUAUUUUGACCGUGCAAAGGUAGCAUAAUCAUUAGUCUUUUAAUUGGAGGCUGGAAUGAAGGGCUGCACGAGGUAUAGACUGUCUUAUUUGAAUUGUUGUUAGAAUUUAAUUUUUAAGUUAAAAAGCUUAAAUUUUUUUAAAGGACGAGAAGACCCUAUAGAACUUUAUAUAAAUUUAAUAUAAAUGGUUUUUGGUUGUUUUUAUAUUUAUUUAUAUUUAUAUUUUGUUGGGGUGAUAGGAAAAUAAUAUUAACUUUUUUUAUUAAUUUACAUUGAUUUAUGGUUAUUUGAUCCAUUUUUAGUGAUUAUAAGAUUAAGUUACCUUAGGGAUAACAGCGUAAUUUUUCUUUAGAGUUCUUAUCGACAGGAAAGUUUGCGACCUCGAUGUUGGAUUAAGAUUAAUUUUUGGUGUAGAAGCUGAAAUAUUAGGUCUGUUCGACCUUUAAAUUCUUACA
rnacentral:rRNA from 1 species